GUCAGCUUUCUCUCUUGUUUGAGUUUCCAGAUAUUGUCUUUGAUGGCCUUUAAAGGGAAGGCAUUGUCACAUUCGCUACAUUUGUAAGGUUUCUCUUCUGUAUGAAUUCACUGAUGAGCUCUAUGACUGCCAUUACAGCAAUGAAACACAAACCAAGACUGUCAUCAUGCUUGAUACUGUGUGAGCAGUGGUUUCGGCAAGAUGAGCAAGAGGAGUCCAGUGAAGGCUGGAGGGGUGACUUAGUUGAUAUGUGUGCUCCAUGUUUUUCUGGAGGAUCCAAGCUUAUCUGCCUGUAGCUACACUGGAUGGUUCAUCAUCACCUGUCUCCACAGCUUCCAUGAUGCUUACCUUCCCAAAGACUACAUGCUUGCCACUCAACAACCCCAUCUUGGCAGACUUGAAAAACUGGGAACUAUUUGUGUUUGGUACGACACUUGCCAUGAAGAAGAUAUCAAGACUCUACACUUCAGGAUGAAAUUCCUCAAAUUUCUCCCCAGUUGUCACCAGUGCCAUCAUGGUGUGUAAGGUGACCACCCUGGCACAUGCAUUCUGGAAUAAUUCUGUGAAAAGCAACCUCUUUUUUUUUUUUUUUUUUUAGCCAUUUCCUUUCUAUCUGAUGCUCAAAGCACAGUAGUUUUCUGCUGUCUUUGGAUCAUUUUCUGCCAAUGGCUCGGUGAUGUCUCCAAAGGGCUUGCCAUCAUGGUGUUUAAUAUGGUGCAGUUGACCAUGGAUGCCAGCAAGUAGCUACAGGGCAGAAAGCUUGGAUUUCUUAAAACAGACUUAUUCAACAUCACCAUCAUCAUCAUCAUCAUCAUCAUCAUCUAGUGUGUAUUCACACUCACACUCAUACAUGUAGGUACAGUGUGAAGGCCUGAAGUCUCAGGUCCUCUGUAAGAACAAGACUUCUUCACCACUGAGCCAUCUCUUUAGCCCUUCUGAACAUUUUUUUCUUGGGGAGUGGCAGUCCCAAUUAAUGUAGCUGGCCUCAAACUUAUGUUGCCCAGGCUGGUCUUAAAUUCAUGAGCCCCCUAUUUCAGCCUUCUAAAUGUUGAGAUUAGAGCUAUGUACCACCACAUUUGGCUUACUACAAACUCUUCUAGAUUGUUUUCUUUGCUGUGUGUAUGUGUGUGCAUAAAUGUUUGCAUGUGUGAGUGCAGUGUGUGUGUGCACACAUGUGCACAUGAGCAUAUGUGCAUCUAUGGUUUCAUGCAUGUGUGUUUAGAACCUAAAGCUGGUGUUAGGAUUUUCCUUAAUUUCAGGAAAUGAGCACCUUACUCAUAGAUGUAGGGUCUCUCAAUUAUACCCAGAACAUUGGGGGGUACAGAGGUUCUUGUACUCACAGAUAAGGACUAGGAGAACCAGAAAUGUUAAUCGUGCAGGGUGUUUCCUCAAUGGAGGAUUAAAAAUCAAAUACCUGCAUUCCGUCCAGAAAUCUGAGAGUGGAGUUUGUUAACGACCUGCUGACCUUUUUGCUAUUUGUUGAGGCAGACCUCACCCAAAUUCCCCAGAAUGAUUAUGCCAGACUCUUCCCUUCCUAGACCACUACUUAUCCUUUUGAGAGAUGUCACAUGUACUUUAUGGCCUUCUGACCUUUAUGUCAGAGGCCAUUCUAGGCCUUUAAGCUAUAGACCCUGACCUCAUGGUCACAUGGACUUUGUAAGAUUUCUGUGUGGUCACAACUAAGCUUUACUGUGCACCCAUAAUUAGACUGAUGGUUGAUCCUUUUGCUUAAGUUUCAAUACUGCAUAGGAAGCAUGUUACUUUUUGUAUUUCCAGAAAGGAGGUAAAUACACAUAAAGAUGAACAGUCCAUCUAGACCACAGUUCUCAGCCUUCCUAAUGCUGCAACCCUUUAAUACAGUUCCUCAUGGUGUGGUGACCCCAACCACAACAUUAUUUUGUUGCUACUUCAUAACUGUAUUUUGCUUUUGCAAUGAAUCAUAACAUUAGUAUCUAUGUUUUCCAAUGGUCUUCAGGGGCUGCGACCUACAGGUUAAGAACAGCUAAUGCCUGUAAAAAGGCACUUAAUAUUUUCCCUCCCUCACCCCACCUCCCCCCCCCCCUCUCUCUCUCUCUCAAUUUUUAAUUUAUUUUUUGAGACAAAGUCUUUCUAUGUAGUUCUGGAACUCGCUAUGGAGACCAUACUGGCCUUCAACUCAGAGAGCCUCCUGCCUCUGUGCUGGAUUUAAGAAUGUAUACUACUUCAUGU